CGCCCUUGAGUUUGAUCAUGGCUCAGGAUGAACGCUAGCGGCGUGCCUAACACAUGCAAGUCGAACGUGAGGAGGACUUCGGUCCUCUGAAAGUGGCGGACGGGUGAGUAAGACGUAGGUGACCUGCCUCGGAGUGGGGGAUAACCAUUGGAAACGAUGGCUAAUACCGCAUAGGUUGAGUAAGAUGGGAAUCUUAGUCAACAAAGCUUUAGUGCUUUGAGAGGGGCCUACGGCCGAUUAGUUAGUUGGUGGGGUAAAGGCCUACCAAGGCGAUGAUCGGUAGCUGGUCUGAGAGGACGAUCAGCCACACGGGAACUGAGAUAUGGUCCCGACUCCUACGGGGGGCAGCAGUGAGGAAUAUUCGGCAAUGGGGGGAACCCUGACCGAGCAACGCCGCUUUUUUUUUGACGGUUUUCGGAUUGUAAACUCCUUUUCUGCGGGAAGAGGCAGGACGGUACCGCAGGAAUAAGUCACGGCUAACUACGUGCCAGCAGCCGCGGUAAAG
rnacentral:rRNA from 1 species